rnacentral:rRNA from 1 species
CCUAAGACAUGCAAGUCGUACGAAGCGGCCCAAUGAUUUAUUUAGAACACUGAGAGCUUGCUCAAAGUGUGGAAGAAUAAUGAUUUGGAUUUUCCGCUUAGUGGCAAACGGGUGAGUAACACGUGGGUUACCUACCUCCUAGAUGGGGAUACCAAUUGGAAACGAUUGUUAAUACCGAAUGUGAUCUAUGGAUUAAAGAAGCCUUUAAAGCUUCGCUAGGAGAUGGGCCUGCGGUGCAUUAGAUAGUUGGUGGGGUAAUGGCCUACCAAGUCGACGAUGCAUAGCUGAACUGAGAGGUUGAUCGGCCACAUUGGGACUGAGACACGGCCCAAACUCCUACGGGAGACAGCAGUUAGGAAUAUUCGUCAAUGGGGGAAACCCUGAACGAGCAAUGCCGCGUGAACGAUGACGGUCCUCUGGAUUGUAAAGUUCUGUUGUUUGGAAAGAAUUGUACUAAUAGGAAAUGAUUAGUGCUUGACGGUACCAUUCAAGAAAGCCACGGCUAACUACGUG